rfam:Triticum aestivum genome assembly, contig: Triticum_aestivum_CS42_TGACv1_scaffold_306580_4AS
CUUAUACUCCCUCCGUCCCGAAAUACUUGUCGAAGAAAUGGAUAAAAAUGGAUGUAUCUAGAACUAAAAAUACGUCUAGAUACAUUCAUUUGUUCGACAAGUAUUUUCGGACGGAUGGAGUAUUUC